rnacentral:rRNA from 1 species
GAUGAACGCUGGCGGCGUGCCUAAUACAUGCAAGUCGAGCGAACAGACGAGGAGCUUGCUCCUCUGACGUUAGCGGCGGACGGGUGAGUAACACGUGGAUAACCUACCUAUAAUACUGGGAUAACUUCGGGAAACCGGAGCUAAUACCGGAUAAUAUAUUGAACCGCAUGGUUCAAUAGUGAAAGACGGUUUUGCUGUCACUUUUAGAUGGAUCCGCGCCGCAUUAGCUAGUUGGUAAGGUAACGGCUUACCAAGGCAACGAUGCGUAGCCGACCUGAGAGGGUGAUCGGCCACACUGGAACUGAGACACGGUCCAGACUCCUACGGGAGGCAGCAGUAGGGAAUCUUCCGCAAUGGGCGAAAGCUUGACGGAGCAACGCCGCGUGAGUGAUGAAGGUCUUCGGAUCGUAAAACUCUGUUAUUAGGGAAGAACAAAUGUGUAAGUAACUAUGCACGUCUUGACGGUACCUAAUCAGAAAGCCACGGCUAACUACGUG